rnacentral:sRNA from 1 species
CCCUAGCCCGGAUUAUAGUGGAAAGCCCGGAGUAAAAAAUGCAAAAGUUUCUUGUUUUAAAAAAGCGACUCCCGAAGCGUCGGGAGAAGCUCUUUUUAAAAUAUUAGAAACUUUGCGUUUUUUAUGAGGACUUGCAGCGGAAAGCCGGAAAUAGC